rnacentral:tRNA from 1 species
UGGCUCAGUGGUAGAGCGCUUGCCUUGCAAGCACGAGGCCCUGGGUUUGAUUCCUCAG